GCUCCAUUUUCUGUGGUCUGUUCUUGCACAGUUAGGUCUACAAGCCAGGUUCAAGGCCACCAACUGAGGCACCUGUCCCGAGACAGGACCAUUCUAAUCUGCCCUGAAAAGGACAUCCCAUUGAUCAUACUAAAUUUGUGGAUGGAUGCCUAUCUGUUGACCAGACCCUCCCUCUUCAAUGAAAACUGCCUCUCCUUCCACUCCAUCUGUGAGGAACCCUUGGAUGCUGACAUGUGCUUACAUAGGACUUCCUGUCCACAGCCAGAAUUAGCCAGAAUUCACUGACCCAUGGUUGGACUCCUAAAAUACUCAAGAUGAGAGACAUGUUACUUUUCCUUACUAUAGUAACUAUCAAAUGCAUCCCAUAACCUUAUGUUGUAAACAUCAAAUAUGCACAAUAAAAUUUAUUUGAAAAAAUAAA
rnacentral:lncRNA from 1 species